GUCCGCCGGCGCCCCCUGGGAUUGGGGAGAGAGGGAAGGGCUGAGGCUCACGGUUUCGGAGUAAGGGGAGCGGCCCGGCGAGCCGCCGCGCCUGGGUUAAGAGCUGCAGGAGGAACGUGGCUUCACGAGUUCGGCUCCUCGGCCAUCCACAGCCCGGGCCUCCGCCUCUGCUGACCUGGCGGCUGUAGAAGGCAGAAGAGGCCUGAAACCUGCAGCAGGAGCACCACCCUGCCCCGCGGCCCCGCGCGCCCUCCAGUGGCGUCAUCCCAUCCGCUUUGAUCUCGACUGGCGCGCCUACCCUCGGCAGCGGCACCCCUUGGGAGCGCAAUCGCGGGCAGACUCCGAGGACCCAUCUUGCGAAAGUUCUGCGAGGUCCUGACUUUAAGGGAACAGGGGUCGUACUUGGGCCAUGGCCGGAAGGGAGAUCCAACAUCCAUGACGACGUCUACCCCCCAGCCUGCCCCUUCAGAGCCCAGUCUGUGCCUUGCGUCAAAGUCAAGCAAGGGCUCUUGUAGGGCACCGAGCCCCAGCCAAAAUCACCCUUUUCUUUCAGAUAGCCCCCACUUACCCCCAGAAACCUUACUCUCUCCCUCGGGAGCAGGUGGGAAGUGAAAGGCCGGGGGGGCUGUUUCUGCUCUGCUUGUCUGUACCUGUGGCCCUUGAGUGGAAAACCCCGCCGCUGGACCAAAGACCUGGAGGCUCCAGGAUUGCCCACUUGGGACCCUGACUAUGAAGGGUCAAGAUAGCCCAUUCUGCCCCAGCACUCAGAGCCCUAUUACCAAGGCCCCUACUCCAAGAAUCCACCAUCAAAACCGGGGCCCUGCCAGUGCCUUCCCAGUGUUCAGGCCUAGGGAAGAAUAGCCCCAUUAUGCCUGUUACUCCUGAUCCUUCUGCAGUCUCUCUCUUUGUGACCCCAUGGCCUUUGCUGCUAUGUCUGCCCUGGCCCCACAGAGUGCCAGGUCAGAGCCACCCUGGCCUACAUAGCAGGGCCCCGGUUCACAGGCUAAAACCUGGGCCUCCUGCCAGGCUGCAACUCCCAGCUGCACACCGCAACCUGAGACAUCUCAGCAUAUUCUAGGAACUAGUAAUGGGGACGCUUCCGACUCGCUGGGGAAGGGAGAUGAGGGCCUCUAGCUCUCCAUGCCCAGUCUCUCAUCAUCAAAGUCAUUUAAGGCCCCAGCGACCCCAGGGUUCAGCAGCAUCCUGUUCAUCAUGAGCAGAGGGGUGACUGAAUAGAAUGGGAGGCAGGUGUGGCCUGAGCAGUUCCCAACCUGAAUUUUCCUUUGAGCUUGGUGAUUUGGGGCGGGGGAUUGAGAUAUUUUCCUUUCACUUGUGGGAAAUCUUGGGGCCCCACAAAUCACUAAGCUGAAGGGAAAAGUCAAGCUGGGAACUACUCAGGGCAAACCUGCCUCCCAUUUUAUUCAGUCACUCCUCUGCUCGCUGAGAUAGACACAUACCUGAUUGCCUCCUUUGGAGAGGCUUGUCAGAAACAAAAUAAUGCAACCAUUUGUCUCUCAGCUACCUGCGACCUGGAAGCCCCCUCCCCACUUCGAGUUGUCCCCGCCUUUCUGGACGGAACCAACGUACUUCUUACAUAUAUCGAUUGAUGUCUCAUGUCUCCUUAAAAUGUAUGAAAACAAACUGUGCCCUGACCACCUUGGGCACAUGUCGCCAGGACUCCCUGAGGCUGUGUCACGGGCACGCAUCUUCAACCUUGGCAAAAUAAAGUUUCUGAAUUAACUGAGACCUGUCUCAAAUUUUCAGGGUUCACAUUUUGGUAAUCAUUGAGGGAUUCUGAGUGGAGAUGCCCCUGACUUUUGACAAAUCUCCCAUUGGUGCAUGGUACCAGCAUGAGCUAACUUUAUGGCUCAAACCAAUAGGACAAUUUGCUGAGGUCUGAGAGUACCCCGUCCAGAGAAUCCCUGAUCUCCCAAAAUUUAGUCAAGAUCUAAAGUUUAUUUUGCUGUACAACUCCUCUUUUUCUAGAGUUUUACUUGCUUCCAACACAAGGAAGGCAACUUUUCUCCUGCUUCCAUGACAAUGGAAUGCAGGUAACUCCUAUGGAGUCUGAGCUCACUUCUAACAGGGAAGAUGAGUUUGUUUUUUGUUUUUUUCCUGCUUCUAGGAUGGUAGAAAGCAGCCUUCGGCCUGAGACCCAUCCCUAGAUAGGUAACUGAAUUGGGGUUUGUCUUGGAUAAAGUUAAGAUUAACAACCAGCUGGUCUUAAUUUCUCCUUACCAUUAGAGCGCUCAGUGAUCAUAUUGUUGGUUUUUUUGUUGUUGUUGCUUUGUUCCAGUCUGAAGUUGUUGUUUAAGGAUCCUAAUUCUUGUUCAGAGAUGCAUUCUAAAGGGUCUUCUCUAUUGCUUUUUCUCCCAAAUUUAAACUUAAUUCGGUUUGUCUGUGUGCAUUUGCGUGAAGAAGUGAACUGUUGUUUUCAUACGUUAAUGACAGUUUUCUCAGCUCUGAAGAGAAAAGGCAUUUACUCCUCCCAGCUGAAAGCGCCCCUAGGUGACUGGGGGCCUCAUGGGAGUCUCUGGGGGGGUUAACCCCUUGCGACGUGCAGCGGCCCUGGAGGGAAAUCCCCAACAAAAAUUAAUUUUAAAAAUGGCUCAUCCAGGAAACGCAUAUAAGGGCUGAUCGCCCAGCCUUUUGAGCCUUUUCUGGGGUCAUAAACCUCUGGAGAGAGAAACUGAGACAUGUAAGAGGGUGGAAACGACUCAGCGAUGACACACUGUAGCAUCCUGCCCACAAGCAGCACAUAGCAAUCAAAAAACCUGGGCCACAGCUCAGUUCCUCCUAUUAAGAGAGAAAAAAAAAUUGGGAAACAAUAUAAGAAUGAGGAGGAAACAAAGAGAAUGACCCCCUUUCCAGCACUCCAUAGGUUGUAUGGCACAUCUACUUGCCAAAGUUUAUGUAAAAUGGAAAUAAUAUGGUCUUUGUGCACAUUUACAUUAAGGAAAAAGAGCCCUAAGAUCGACCUGCAAAUUAUAGAGUUCCUAAGUGCUCUUUUUCUCGAUUUUUUUCUUUUCUGCCUGCUCUAAAUCUGCUGUUAUUUUUCUAUUAAGAUAAAAACCACUGCAUCCAACAAGUUCUUUUUGCAGGGUGGUGAAUUUGUGUUUAUCUCAUGGCUAAAAGUUCUGAAGUAAAAGCUAUAGGAUAUUUGUUUAUGUGUGUGUCUAUGUGUGUGUGUAUAUAUAUUUAAAAGGC
rnacentral:lncRNA from 10 species